rnacentral:rRNA from 1 species
GAUGAACGCUAGCGGCAGGCCUAAUACAUGCAAGUCGAACGGGAUCCAGAUCAAAGCUUGCUUUGGUCUGGUGAGAGUGGCGCACGGGUGCGUAACGCGUGAGCAACCUACCCUUGUCAGGGGGAUAGCCCGGCGAAGGUCGGAUUAAUACCGCAUGACAUCAUUGAGAGGCAUCUUUCGAUGAUCAAAGAUUUAUCGGACAAGGAUGGGCUCGCGUGACAUUAGCUAGUUGGUAAGGUAACGGCUUACCAAGGCUGCGAUGUCUAGGGGCUCUGAGAGGAGAAUCCCCCACACUGGUACUGAGACACGGACCAGACUCCUACGGGAGGCAGCAGUAAGGAAUAUUGGUCAAUGGACGGAAGUCUGAACCAGCCAUGCCGCGUGCAGGAGGACGGCCCCAUGGGUUGUAAACUACUUUUAUACGGGAACAAACGUCGGUACGUGUACCGGUCUGAGUGUACCGUAAGAAUAAGGAUCGGCUAACUCCGUG